rnacentral:rRNA from 1 species
AGCAGCCGCGGUAAUUCCAGCUCCAAUAGCGUAUAUUAAAGUUGUUGCAGUUAAAAAGCUCGUAGUUGAAUUUCGGGGUCAGUAGGUUGGUCGUGCCACUGGUAUGUACUGGCCUCACUGAUUCCUCCUUCCUGAUGAACCGUAAUGCCAUUAAUUUGGUGUUGCGGGGAAUCUGGACUGUUACUUUGAAAAAAUUGAGUGUUUAAAGCAGGCUAACGCUUGAAUACAUUAGCAUGGAAUAAUGGAAUAGGACGUUCGAUCCUAUUUUGUUGGUUUCUAGGAUUGACGUAAUGAUUAAUAGGGAUAGUUGGGGGCAUUAGUAUUCAAUUGUCAGAGGUGAAAUUCUUGGAUUUAUUGAAGACUAACUACUGCGAAAGCAUUUGCCAAGGAUGUUUUCAUUAAUCAAGAACGAAAGUUAGGGAUCGAAGACGAUCAGAUACCGUCGUAGUCUUAACCAUAAACUAUAGACCGUACUAGGGAUCGGAUGAUGUUAAUUUUUAUGUACUCUAUUCGGCGCCUU